UCGAUAAUCCACGAAUACCUUACCUCCCUUAGAUUAACCAGCUUGUGUACUGCCGUCGUAAGCACACCUCUAAAAGUAUGAGUAUGCAAUUAUGAUAUAACUCAUAUACGUCAGGUCAAAGUGCAGCUAAUGGGGAGGUGAUGAUGGGUUACACCCUAAAUAAAGACACGGAAUAUAGUACUAAUAUCUAUAUAAAGGUGGACUUGGACGUAAUAAUAAUUCAAAGUCAUAUUGAAAUCGAAUCUAAGACAUGCACACAUCGCCCGUCACUCUUGCCUAAAGGCAAGAUAAGUCGUAACAAAGUAGGUGUAACGGAAGUUGCACCUGU
rnacentral:rRNA from 1 species